rnacentral:misc_RNA from 1 species
GAUGAAGAACGUAGCGAAAUGCGAUAAGUAAUGUGAAUUGCAGAAUUCAGUGAAUCAUCGAAUCUUUGAACGCACAUUGCGCCCGCCAGUAUUCUGGCGGGCAUGCCUGUUCGAGCGUCAUUACAACCCUCAGGCCCCCGGGCCUGGCGUUGGGGAUCGGCGGAGCCCCCCGUGGGCACACGCCGUCCCCCAAAUACAGUGGCGGUCCCGCCGCAGCUUCCAUCGCGUAGUAGCUAACACCUCGCGACUGGAGAGCGGCGCGGCCACGCCGUAAAACACCCAACUCUUCUGAAGUUGACCUCGAAUCAGGUAGGAAUACCCGCUGAACUUAAGCAUAUCAGUAAGCGGAGGA